rnacentral:rRNA from 1 species
CCUACGGGUGGCUGCAGUGGGGAAUUUUGCGCAAUGGGCGAAAGCCUGACGCAGCAACGCCGCGUGGGUGAUGAAGGUCUUCGGAUCGUAAAACCCUGUCGUUGGGGACGAAGGUGGGGGCGUUAAUAGCGUUUCUGCUUGACGGUACCCGGAGAGGAAGCCCCGGCUAACUCUGUGCCAGCAGCCGCGGUAAUACAUAGGGGGCAAGCGUUAUGUGGAAUUAUUGGGCGUGAUGGUCGAGGACGCAGGUGAAAUCCCCGAGCUCAACCUGGGAACUGCAUUUGAGACUGGAAGGCUAGAGUACUGGAGAGGGUGGUGGAAUUCCUCGUGUAGCGGUGAAAUGCGUAGAGAUGAGGAGGAACACCAGUGGCGAAGGCGGCCACCUGGACAGUAACUGACGCUGAGGCGCGAAAGUGUGGGUAGCAAACAGGAUUAGAUACCCUGGUAGUC